rnacentral:tRNA from 1 species
UGGCUCAGAGGUUAAAGCGUCUGCCUACAAGGCAGGAGACCCAGGUUUAAUCCCUGG